rnacentral:rRNA from 1 species
AGCGAACGCUGGCGGCAGGCUUAACACAUGCAAGUCGAACGCCCCGCAAGGGGAGUGGCAGACGGGUGAGUAACACGUGGGAACGUACCCUUUGGUUCGGAAUAACUCGGGGAAACUCAAGCUAAUACCGGAUAAGCCCUUAUGGGGAAAGGUUUACUGCCGAAGGAUCGGCCCGCGUCUGAUUAGCUAGUUGGUGAGGUAAUGGCUCACCAAGGCGACGAUCAGUAGCUGGUCUGAGAGGAUGAUCAGCCACACUGGGACUGAGACACGGCCCAGACUCCUACGGGAGGCAGCAGUGGGGAAUAUUGGACAAUGGGGGCAACCCUGAUCCAGCCAUGCCGCGUGAGCGAUGAAGGCCUUAGGGUUGUAAAGCUCUUUUACCCGGGACGAUAAUGACUGUACCGGGAGAAUAAGCCCCGGCUAACUUCGUGCCAGCCGCCGCAGUAA